rnacentral:rRNA from 1 species
AGUGAACGCUGGCGGUAGGCCUAACACAUGCAAGUCGAACGGCAGCACAGUAAGAGCUUGCUCUUACGGGUGGCGAGUGGCGGACGGGUGAGGAAUACAUCGGAAUCUACUUUUUCGUGGGGGAUAACGUAGGGAAACUUACGCUAAUACCGCAUACGACCUACGGGUGAAAGCAGGGGAUCUUCGGACCUUGCGCGAUUGAAUGAGCCGCUGUCGGUUUAGCUAGUUGGCGGGGUAAAGGCCCACCAAGGCGACGAUCCGUAGCUGGUCUGAGAGGAUGAUCAGCCCCACUGGAACUGAGACACCGUCCAGACUCCUACGGGAGGCAGCAGUGGGGAAGAUUGGACAAUAGGCGCAAGCCUGAUCCAGCCAUACCGCGUGGGUGAAGAAGGCCUUCGGGUUGUAAAGCCCUUUUGUUGGGAAAGAAAAGCAGCAGGUUAAUACCCCGCUGUUCUGACGGUACCCAAAGAAUAAGCACCGGCUAACUUCGU